rnacentral:rRNA from 1 species
GACGAACGCUGGCGGCGCGCCUAACACAUGCAAGUCGAACGGCAAGGCCUGCUUUCCCUUGUGGAUUGCGGGUACUCGCGUGGCGAACGGGUGAGUAACACGUUAGUGAUCUGCCCCCAACUUGGGUAUAAGCCUGGGAAACUGGGUCUAAUUCCCGCUAGGAAUGCAGGGGGGUGCCCGGGGUGGGAGACGAUUGGUUAGUGGAUGGGGAUGUGCCCGCGGCGUUUCGGCAUGUUGGAGGGGUAAAGGCCUACGAAGGCGGCGAGCGGUAGCCGGCCGGAGAGGGGGGACAGCGGCACUGGGACUGGGAUACGGCCCCGACUGCUGCGAGAGGCAGCAGUGGGGGGUAAAGGGCCAAGAGCGGGAGCCUGAUGCAGCGACUCCGUGUGGGAGGUGUCGGCCUUCGGGUGGUAAACUCCUUUCGAACGCGAGGAAGCCACCAGGUUGGAAGGGUGGUGACGGUAGUGGUAGAAUAAGCACCGGCUAACUACGUG